GCAUGCGGCACCAAGGAGCAUAUCUUCGUUUAUUUCCUAAUCCAUGUAACACACAAAACAGAUAAAUAUUAUAAUAAUAAUAAAUAGUAGUAUAAGUAUAAAUAAAUAAACACAAAGUUUGUUUAUUACUGUUCGCAUAAUUUAUAGGCUAUGUUGUUGAAUUAGAAUUAAGUCAUUGUUUACUCUUUCUACUCAUGCGCAAAAAUUCCGCUACGUCGAACUAUAAAUUGACAUAAUAUUUUCUUACGUUUCCAGUCCGUUUCUUACGUCUCCGUUGCGUCUACGUCUACGCUACGUCAAACUAUAAAUCCAACUUUAUGUUACGUUACGUUUCUCUUACGUUCCGUCAGGCGCUUGCGUUCAUCUAUAAACACGAGUACACAAAAUUCGGUGUUGAUCUUUUCCAGUGCGUCUCCGUUGCGUCUACGUCUACGCUACGUCAAACUAUAAAUCCAACUUAACUUAUAACCAACUGAUUUUAUCAAGUAUUAAUAGUUUUCGAUUCUAAUUAUAACCUCAUAAUUUAGAAUCUAUAAAUUCUAUGUUAAAUCCUUCAAAUGUCUGAUAAAGGUACUUUAUUUAUAUAUACAGAGUGGGCCAAAGAAAACAGUCCACCUCGAUAUUUGGCAGUAUUUAUUAGAUUUUAAGGAAAUGACGAAACAGGUCGAUUUUUGAUCUAAGGCGGACACAUUUUUACGGUACAUACAUCUGUCAUUUGUCAACCCCCUCCCACCACGUCUUAUUUUUAAAUAGGAAAUAUGGGUCGUGUUAUAGCUCAUUUGAAAGGUUAUGCAAAUCUCUAUUCAGUACUAUUAACAUUGACAUCAUUAUUUAUACAGGGUGUCCCAGAAAAAUUAUUUUGAAUUAAAUUAAUUGACACAAAAAGAAGAAUAUAUUAUUAUGUAAUUUAUUAACUAAAAAUACAUUCUACUGCUGACAGAAAACAGAAAAAAAUGUUUAUUUCAUAAAUAAACAUUGUUUGUUGCUUAAAUUCAAUAUUCAACCUACCAAGAGGCAGAUGGGUGGCAGCUUGAACAUUGAAACUAAGCAAAAAGCAAUGUUUAUUUAUCAAAAAACAUUUUUUUCUGUUUUGUGACAGCAGUAGAAUGAAUUUUGAACUAAAUAGAUUACAAACAUUCUUCUUUUUCUGUCAAUUAUUAAAAAAAUCUCUUGGACACCCUGUAUAAAUAAUUAUGUUAAUGUUUAUAUUCCUGAAUAGAGAAUUGAAUAACCUUUCAAAUGAGCUAGCACACAACCCCUAUUAAAAAAUAAGGGGUGGGAGAACUGGAAGGGAGGGGGUUGACAAAUGACAGAUGUAUGUACCGUAUAAAUGUGUCCCCCUUAGAUCAAAAAUCGCUGUUUCGUCACUUCCUUAAAAUCUAAUAAAUACUGCCAAAUAUCGAGGUGGACUCUUUUCUUUAGCCUACUCUGUAUAUUAUUGUGUUUUCAAUUUAUCAAUCAAAGGCAAAAUGAAAAUUAAAUUAAAUUUUUUUUUAAAUAACGCUGGCACAUAAAUUUGAUACACCCUGUAUAUUGAUCUGUAAAUAUUUAUUAGAAUUUAGUUUGGAUGUAAGUGGAUUUCUUUUUUAAUGAGCUUUUCGAUGAACCAUUAAAGAAUUUUGUGAAUAAUUAAAGUGAAAAGAACGAUGUAUUUAGGUUUAAAAUGGAAAAAGAUUGUUUAUUACGGGAACUAUAGACUCUACAGGUAGAGGUAAUUAUCAUUUUCUAGAAAAAUGGUUUAAAAGAAAGUUUGGAAGUUGAAGAAAAAGGUCAGUCAAUUUAUGUGAAAGAUAUUUUUAUGUUCGGAAACUAAAAUUUUGAGUAAAAAGCAUAUGAAUUAAAAUUCCAAUAUUUCAAAAAGUAAAUAGGAAAUAUAGGUAAUCUUGCGAAUACAUAAAUUUGACGUCUAUUACGCCAGAUCAUCCAUUUCAUAAGUCCAUAUUUGGAAUAGUUUCAUAUUUUUUUGCUAAUUUUUUGCUAAUUUAUUACCACAAAAACAAAUUUUUUGCUCCACCCCUAACCGAGAAACAAUGGUUGAUGUAGCGUAAUAUUACGUCACAUCAACGAUAGCCAUAUCUCGCGAACCUAAAGAGCUAGAAAAUCGUACUACGCGGCAUAUUUUUUUGCUAAUUUAUUGCUGUCGAUCUGCAUAUGCAACAUACCCCAACACCACCCCUGCUUCCCUUACAGCUAAACAACACCCCCAAAAAACAACGAAAAAUCUUGAAAAAUGAUUUUUGUGAUAUAGUUGACGGUUGAUAUUUAAUUGCUAAUUUUUUGCUGUCAUUAGCCGCAAAAAACAAUUUUUUUGCUCCACCCCUAACCGAGAAACAAUGGUUGAUGUAGCGUAAUAUUACGUCACAUCAACGAUAGCCAUAUCUCGCGAACCUAAAGAGCUAGAAAAUCGUACGACGCGGCAUAUUUUUUUGCUAAUUUAUUGCUGUCGAUCUGAAUAUGCAACAUACCCCAAAACCACCCCUGCUUCCCUUACAGCUAAACAACACCCCCAAAAAACAACGAAAAAUCUUGAAAAAUGAUUUUUGUGAUAUAGUUGACGAUUGAUAUUUAAUUGCUUAUUUUUUGCUGUCAUUAGCCGUAAAAAACAAUUUUUUUGCUCCACCCCUAACUGAGAAACAAUGGUUGAUGUAGCUUAAUAUUAUGUCACAUCAUCGAUAGCCAUAUCUCGCGAACCUAAAUAGCUAUAAAAUCGUACGACACGGCAUAUUUUUUUGCUAAUUUAUUGCUAUCUGAAUAUGCAACAUACACCAAAACCACCCCUGCUUCCCUCGAACAUUGAUAAAUGCUCAAAAAUUUUUUAACAACUUUCUCAAGUUUGUUGCUUACAGGCAACAUACCUCCGCCUACAGCGUCGGUCUGUUUCCAAGCAACAAGCUUUCGAAAUCUGUUAUAAAAUUUUUUCGAACAAUAGGGAACUUGCACAAUUUUUUUUUAUUACAUAAUAAUGUUCAGUUUUGUUUAAAAAUGAGAUUUCCAAAAUUUCACGCUUCAAAAACUCGUAAUAACUUAGAAAUACAUAUUUAAAGUCUUCAGCGGUAUAAAAUAGUUCAAACGGCACGUGACGUCACAUAGUUUUGCAUUAGUUUUUAUUAUGGUUAUAUUUCGCUGUGUCUAGGUACACGCUAACGUGUACGCCAAUAAAAAAAGUUAGGUAUGAAAAAAAUACACGCGAAUUAAACUUCAUCAAGCCAGUGACGUCAUUAUUUAGCGUGCGCAGUGACUGUAUAUUUUGGUACAAGAUAUUUUGAUAUGUUUAGUGUUUGUUUGAUAGAAAAAUAUUUGUUAAAGGAAGGGAAGCAGAACUAUUCAGAUAGCCAGUGACGUCAUUAUUUAGCGUGCGCAGUGACUGUAUAUUUUGGUACAAGAUAUUUUGAUAUGUUUAGUGUUUGUUUGAUAUAAAAAUAUUUGUUAAAGGAAGGGAAGCAGAACUAUUCAGAUGUUUUAAACUUAAUUGUAAUAAAUCAAUGUAUAUAUAAAAGUAUAUAUUUAGGUUAGCAAAAUAAAUAUAUGUAUUCAGUUGACAUAACACGUACAAAAUAUUGUUAAAAUAAUUUUUAUACGUAAGUUAAUUAU
rnacentral:lncRNA from 1 species